rnacentral:lncRNA from 1 species
ACAAUAAUGUCAUCUCCUUCGGCUAAUAUUGUCCUAGGAGGAUUGUCGUUUCUUACUCUAUGCCAGGUGGGUUUAGAUUUAUUGGGACGGGAUUUAAGAAAAUCAUUUUUCUUUUUGUGAUCAGGUUUGUGNGCGUACCUUUUGGGAGCAGCAACGUCCGGAAGUGAUUUUGCGAAGACCGUCUGGGUUCCAGAAACAAUGGUUGGGUUCUCCGAAAGCAUGCUAUUGGUUUGGUUCUUCGAAGGCAUGUUGUUGACGUCAGCCAUAAGUCCUUAAGAUUGUUGUAAAAGGCUGACAGAAACACGAACAAAUUUUCCUGAGGCGUGUAGAGUCACUGUCCUUAAGGACUUAUCCGCGGUGUGCGCAAGUCCCCCAGGAUACAACAGGAACUUCUUAGAAUAUUUCUGAGGAUCUCAGAACUAGCAAGGAACUCUUAAAAGAGUAUAAGAAUAACCCAAAAUGUUUUUCGAGAAGAAAAAGAGAGAAAAGAUAAAACUUA